CUAAGAAAGUUCUUCCAUUUUCAUUAUUUACUCCAUUUCAAAUUACACCUGCCUGUAUUGUUUAGUUUCUUCAUCACAGAACCUUCUUUUUCUUUAUUAAUCUACUUUGAUUUACUUCUAAAAGAGAAAAACUUGGAACUGAAAACCAGAAAAUAAAACAAAAACAUUUCGUUCUAUCAAUUUCGUUGUUUUCUUGUCUCUUGAUUUCAUUUUCUGCCAAUUUCAACUUCCUGUUGAUCGGUUUUACUUGAAAAGGGAAAACAAAAAGCAUACAUACUUUGUUCAGCUUCAUUUACAGACCGAUUGUGCUCUGGCAUUUUGUAGGCAAAGGAAUCUGGAGAGAGAAUGUAGAAGGUUUUGGAAGUGAAUGAAUGAGUGAGACAAUGUCUGCUUCCGACUGUUUCAUGGAUACUGUGUUUUCUUGGUCACUUGAAGACAUUUUCAAUGAGAAUCUGUACAUAAACCAGGUGGAGAAGAUUCCUCAAUCAUUUGAUUCAGUUGGGCGUUAUUUUGGGUCCUAUUCAUUUCCUUUAUUAGAGGAAACUCGUGCACAGGUGCAGUCGAGUAUGGAAACUAUUGACAGAGCACCAUUUGCUAAAGUAGUUGUUUUUGAAGAAUCCGAGUCCAAUUUGGAUGAUACAAGGACAUAUAGUAUCAUGGUUGAUAAGUGGCAAAACAGGCAAAGAGAACGUGGAAGGGAACCAUACAAAACUUUGCCUGGGGAUCUUUUUGUCUUAGCAGAUGCGAAACCCGAAACUGAUUCUGAUUUACGAAGGGCAGGGAGGUCGUGGACUUUUGUAUCAGUCACUAAGAUCACGGAAAAUAAAAUAGAAGAUGAUAUUAAUGAUGAGAAAAUAGAGGCUGAAAUAAAAGAGUUUAAAGUCAAGGCAUCAAAAAGGAUUGAGGUCAAGGAUAACAUGAGCACUCCGCCAUCACUAUUUGUUGUUUUCCUUGUGAAUUUGACCACUAAUCGCAGAAUAUGGGAAGCAUUGCACAUGUUCAGAAAUCUGAAGAUUAUCAAGGAUGUUCUGUGCACUGAUUCUGUGGCUCAGAAAAACUAUCCUCCCUCAUAUGAAAUGGAUGCUGACUUUCGGGAUAAGUUGUUAGUUGAGAGUUCAUCUUCUGGAUUGAAUGAGUCACAAACUGGGGCAGUUUUGGCCUGUCUUGAAAUGUUGUUUUGUGAUUCCAAGUCUACUUUGCAACUUAUAUGGGGUCCACCUGGGACAGGGAAAACUAAAUCCACCGCUACUCUGCUGUUGACCCUGUUAAGGAUGAAUUGUAGGACUCUUGCUUGCGCCCCAACAAAUGUUGCAGUAACUGAAGUAGCUUCCCAUCUUGUAGAGAUGGUGACUAAAGCAGAGUCCAAUGCUUGGUUUUGUCCUCUGGGAAAAAUUCUUUUAUUUGGGAAUAAAGAGGGACUCAAAGUUGGUUCUGAUAUUGAAGAUAUAUAUUUGGAUCACCGUGUCAAAAGUCUUUUCGAGUGCCUGAGGCCGGUGACAGGUUGGAGUAGUUGCUCAUCUUCCAUGAUUAGGCUUCUUGAGGAUUGCAUUUCACAUUAUCAUAUUUUCUUGAAAAAUGAGUUCGCCGAAGUGAAAAAACAAAAUGGUGAUGGUGAAAUGAUAGAGAAAGGAUAUGGAAGUGAGACCGAAGUUAGCAAGGGCCAGUGCAAAUCAUUUCUUGAAUUUUUCAGAGAGAGAUUUGUGUCUACUGCAUUACCCUUAAAAUGUUGUAUUUCUACCUUCUGUACCCAUAUAAGCCAAGAUUACAUUUCGGCACGUAAUUUCCAUGACAUGAUUUCGCUUUCAGGGUUAGUUGAUUCCUUUGGAAUACUAUUGCAAGGUAAUGUUGAUUCUGAAGCACUGGAAGAGCUUUUCUCUCAUUCAGAAGUUGAAGAUGUGCUCGAGCCAGUAGACAACAACACAUUUCAUCUGUACAUGAAGAGAAGAGAGUGCCUUUCAGUUUUACAUGCCCUUCAGAAAUCGAUUAGAAGACUUUACCUCCCAGAUGUUUGGAACAAAAAAUCUAUAAUGGAGUUUUGUUUUCAAAGAGCUUCCUUAGUAUUUUGCACUGCAUCUAGUUCGUUUAAGCUGCAUAGAGUGAAAUUGGAGCCACUGACCAUUGUUGUUAUCGACGAGGCUGCACAACUGAAAGAGUGUGAGUCAACGAUACCCCUGCAACUUCCAGGUGUGAAGCAUGCCGUUCUUGUUGGUGAUAAGUGUCAGUUACCAGCUAUGGUGAAAAGCAAUGUGUCCUAUAAAGCUGGUUUUGGAAGAAGCUUGUUUGAGAGGUUGAGCUCAAUGGGUCACUCUAAACACCUUCUAAACAUGCAAUACAGAAUGCAUCCUUCAAUAAGUUCCUUCCCAAAUUCAAGGUUCUACAAUAACCAGAUCCUGGACGCUCCAAAUGUUAAAAGAAGAAGCCAUGAGAAACGCUAUCUUCCAGGGCCAAUGUUUGGUCCUUAUUCUUUUAUUAAUGUAAUUGAUGGAAGAGAGGAGAAGGACGAGGACGAACAUAGUCUAAAGAACAUGGUAGAGGUUGCAAUUGCUUUGAAAAUACUGCAGAAUUUGUACAAAAGAUGGGUUGUUUCAAAGGAGAAGCUCAGUAUUGGUGUAAUAUCUCCUUAUGCAGCUCAAGUAGGUGCAGUUCAGGAAAAACUUGGACAGAAGUACGAUAAGCAUGAUGGCUUCAAAGUGAAGGUGAAGACAGUUGAUGGGUUCCAGGGUGGUGAAGAGGACAUAAUCAUCAUGUCCACUGUGCGAUCCAAUCAACAUCACUCACUCGGUUUUAUAUCGGAACCACAAAGAGUUAAUGUUGCUCUCACCAGGGCUCGGCACUGCCUUUGGAUUUUGGGAAAUGAGAGAACUCUUUGUGGUAGCGAAUCUGUUUGGGAGGCUUUGGUGCUUGAUGCCAAGAGUCGGCAGUGUUUCUUUAAUGCUGAUGCAGACAAGGAUAUGGCCAAGGCCAUAUUAGAGGCGAAGAAAGCAUUUUACCAAUUUGAUGAUUUGCUUAAUGCUGACAGCUUACUUUUCCGAAGUUGUAGAUGGAAGGUACUUUUCAGUGGUAAUUUUCUGAAGUCGUUCAGAGAACUUACGUCGAUUCAGUUGAAGAAGUCCGUGCUAAAUCUUCUAUUGAAGCUUGCCGGUGGAUGGAGACCUAAAAAGAUAAAUGUCCAGGCUAUUUCUGGCUCAUCAUCAUUCUUGAGUCAAUAUAAAGUUGGACGUCUAUAUAUUGUUUGCGCAAUUGACAUUGCAAAGGAGUUGGAAUACACUCAAGUGUUAAAGAUUUGGGACUUAUUGCCUCUAGAAUACAUCCCAAAAUUGGUAAAUCGAUUGGAUAGUCUUUUCAAGAGAUAUACAGAUGAUUUUAUCAAUCGCUGCAAUGAGAAAUGUCUUGAGGGUGACUUGGAAGUUCCGAAGUGCUGGCCAACCUCUUUGGAUGUGCCUCGGUUGAAAGAUCUUAGUGCCACUGAAAUCGAUCGUGAUUUUGUUGAUGGUGCUUCUAAUGGUAGAAGUUAUGUUGAGAAUUCACAGGUCAGCGAGAGUUUGUUGCUCAUGAAGUUUUACACCUUGUCAUCUGGUGUAGUGAAUCACUUGUUGCUUGACUGUGAGGGUAAAGAGUUGGAUCUUCCAUUUGAAUUAACUGACCAGGAAAGGGAGAUUGUCCUUUAUCGUAAAAGUACCUUUAUGGUCGGACGGUCAGGAACAGGGAAGACAACAGUUUUAACCAUGAAACUAUUUCAAAAUGAACAACGUCACCAUUUGGCAGAGAAAGGAUGCGUUAGUAGUUCAAAUAGCAUGGUUGAGCCGAGUUCUUUGGCUACUCAGGAGAGAACUCUACACCAGCUGUUUGUUACCGUGAGUCCUCAGCUAUGUUUUGCCAUAAAACAACAUGUUCUACACUUGAAAAGAUUUGCAUGUGGUGGAAGUGAUUUGACAGAGAAAAUUUUGAUUGAUAUGGCUGAUUUUGAUGAGGAGGAAUUUCAAUUCAAGGAUAUCAAGGAUUCGUUUCAGGAUAUUCCUCCUGAUUCUUACCCUCUUGUAAUAACAUUUCAUAAGUUCUUGAUGAUGCUGGAUGGAACACUGACUAACUCAUACUUUGAAAGAUUCCUUGAUGCAACAACGCUAACUCACGGUCAAUUGAGAAGCUCAAGAUCAUUUGCAUUGCAAACCUUCAUCAGGACAAAGGAGGUUAAUUAUGAGAGGUUCAGUUCAUCUUACUGGCCCCAUUUUAAUAUGCAGUUAACAAAGAAGCUUGAUGCUUCACGAGUCUUUACGGAGAUUAUAUCUCAUAUUAAAGGUGGUUUAGGAGCCAUAGAAGCAGAUGAUGGCAGACUCAGUAGGGAGGAUUAUGUUCAACUGUCAGAGGGCCGGGAUUCCAAUUUAAGCAAGCAAAAGAGAGAAGUAAUAUACGAUAUAUUUCAGGCUUAUGAAAAAAUGAAGUUGAAGAAUGGUGAAUUUGAUUUGGCUGAUUUUGUCAUUGAUCUACACCAUCGGAUCAGGCGCGAAAAAUUUGUGGGCGAUCAAAUGGAUUUUGUUUAUAUUGAUGAAGUUCAAGAUCUCACCAUGAGCCAAAUUGCGUUGUUUAAGUAUAUGUGCAACAAUGUCGAAGAGGGUUUUGUUUUUUCCGGUGAUACGGCACAGACCAUUGCCAGGGGAAUUGAUUUUAGGUUCCAAGAUAUAAGACAUCUGUUCUACAAGAAGUUUGUGUUGGAAUCAAGAGGCAAUAAGCAUCAAGAAAGAAAAGAAAAAGGACAAAUCUCAGAAACAUUUCACUUGACUCAAAACUUCCGUACGCAUGAUGGCGUUCUGAAAUUAUCACAGAGCAUUGUUGAACUACUUUAUCGUUUUUUCCCUCUAUAUAUUGACAUUUUAAGGCCUGAAAACAGUCUGAUAUAUGGGGAAGCUCCAGUACUGCUUGAAUCUGGAGAAGAUGAAAAUGCAAUCAUCAGAAUUUUUGGAAAUAGUGGAACUCAUAAUUCUAACAUAGUAGGCUUCGGAGCUGAGCAAGUUAUUUUGGUCCGUGAUGUUGGUGCUCAAAAAGAAAUUUUGAAAAUCGUUGGGAAGCAUGCUCUUGUCCUAACCAUAUUGGAAUGCAAGGGGCUUGAAUUCCAGGAUGUACUCUUGUACAACUUUUUUGGAUCAUCGCCCCUAAAAAAUCAAUGGAGGGUGAUAUAUGAGUACAUGAAGGAGCAAGAUUUACUUGACUCUACAUUGCCACAACAAUUUCCAGGUUUCAGUGAAGCUAAACACAACAUUUUAUGCUCUGAACUGAAGCAAUUAUAUGUUGCUGUUACUCGAACGAGACAAAGAUUAUGGUUUUGCGAGAAUGUAGAAGAGCUCUCCAAGCCCAUGUUUGACUAUUGGACGAAGAAAUGUCUUGUACAGGUUAGACAACUGGACGAUUCCCUUGUGCAGGCAAUGCAAGCUGCUAGUAGUCCUGAGGCGUGGAAAUCACGAGGCAUUAAGCUCUAUCAUGAACAUAACUAUGAAAAGGCCACAAUGUGCUUUGAAAAAGCUGGUGAUACUUAUUGGGAAAGGAAGUCCAAAGCUGCUGGCCUUAAAGCUAUCGCUGAGCGAAUGCUGACUUCAAAUCCUGCGGAAGCCAAUACCAUUCUUAAGGAAGCUACUGAGAUAUAUGAUGCUAUAGGCAUGGCAGAUUCCGCAGCUAGAUGUUUUAUUGAUUUGGGAGAGUAUGAAAGAGCAGCUAGGAUUUAUUUGGAUAAAUGUGGUGAACUGGAAAGAGCUGGGGAAUGUUUUUCUCUAGCAAGAUGCUAUCAAGAGGCUGCAGAUGUGUAUGCUAAGGGCAAUUUUUUCUCGGAGUGUCUCACUGUUUGUGACCAAGGAAAGCUAUUUGAAAUGGGUCUGAACUACAUCAAAUCUUGGAAGAAGCGUCCAGUAAAGGACCGUGCUAUGGCUCAAAGUGGAGAAGGAACUGAUGAAAUUGAGCAGGCAUUUCUUGAGAGAUGCGCACUUUACUAUUACAAGUUGAAAGACAACAGAUCCAUGAUGAAUUUUGUUAGAGCUUUUCGUUCUAUAAUUUCAAUGCGAAACUUUUUGAAGGAGCACGCUAGUCUUGAUGAGCUUCUUUUGUUGGAAGAGGGAUUGGGAAACUAUCUUGAGGCUGCAGAAAUUGCAAAACUGAAAGGUGAUAUUCUACUCCGAGCUGAUUUCCUUGAAAAGGCUGGCAAGUUCAGAGAGGCAUCACUGCAUAUUCUAUUCUAUGGGCUUGCCAACUCUCUUUGGUCAUAUGGCAGCAAGGGAUGGCCCGUGAAGCAGUUUUCACAAAAGGAGGAGCUUUUAUCAAAAGCCAAGUCAUGUGCCAAGCACGAGACAGAAAGCUUUUACGAGUUUGUUUGCACUGAGGUUGACAUUUUGUUAAAUGAGCAGAGUGACUUGGUUGUGAUGAAAAAUCACAUGAAUGCUUGCCAGAGACACAGGAGUGUUGGAGGUCAAAUUUUGUCUGCUAAAAAAAUAUUGGAUGCUCAUCUUUCUUCAAGUGGUGAUAAGUAUGUGUGGGAAGAAAUGUUGGUAGAGUGUCCAGAAAAUGGAAUUUCUGAAAAUCAAGCUUCCGUGGAAUCGUUGAUUUAUUUCUGGAAUUUUUGGAAGGAUAAAAUUGCUCACAUAUUUGAAUAUCUCAGAUGCCUCGAAUCCCAGGAAGUUAGUGAAUACAAAAGUUAUGGAGAGUUUUGUUUGAAUUACUUGGGAGUUUGGAGAAUGUAUCAUAAUCUGAGUCCAGUCUAUGUUUUACUGAUUCCUGAUGCUGAUUGGGUUCAUGGAUUGAAUAAAAAAUAUUUUAGAAAUCAAGGCGAAUUGGUCUCCGUUGAUGCUCAGCAGCUUGCUUUGGCCGCUAGGAAUUAUUGGAGUUCAGAAUUGCUCUCUGUUGGCAUGAAAGUUUUGGACAAGCUCGAAGAAAUCUACAAGUUUCCCAGCAAGAAUGUUGAGUCUGUGUUCCGUCGAAGCAGUUGUCUUAGCUAUGUCUGUGAGGUCUCGGUAUAUCUUUUGCAAUCAAAAUGUUUGAACUUAAGGUAUCAUGAUGCGGAGCGACUGCACAAACGUGUAACGUUUUCGAUUGAAAGUAUUGUUCCUUUAGUAUUUCCUGUGGAUUGGAGGAAUUCAUUGAGGGAGAAUAUGAUUUCUCUUCGAAGAACUGAUGCUUCAAAGAAUGUGUUGAAACAAGUAAUAAAUGAGUUUACCAGAGCAAAGAAUGAGCUAUCUUUUGGGCAAAUUGGGAAGCUUGUGAUGGUCAUUCUCGGGACUGGUAAGCUUAAUAAUGACCUGUACAAGAAGCUUGUGAGAAAACUUGACUGCAACCAGCCAUGGCAGGCGUUCAUUGAGAAUCUCAGUGGGAUUGUCGAACAUGGAAACACCAGUCAAGAACCGAAAGAGGUGUCUGCAAUGUUGAGGUUCCAUGACGCUUUAGCUGAAACUUAUAAUGUGAACUGGAGGGCUGUGAAGGAUUACAUAACACCUGAUUGCUUUCUAUACCUUGUAGAGCGCCUUCUGAUAUGGGCGACUUGCUUUCAGGGUCAUGCUAUCACUACAAGUUCUUGUUUUACCGAGUGGCUUAUAUACCAAGGGGAAGAUACCAUCUUACGUUUGAAGGGGGCUGAUGUUCGACCAUCUUUGGAUGGCAUCCUUCCUUUUGUGAUUGACGUGACUCAGGAGUGCAUUUACAAUAAGGUUGAUAUGGUUGAAUGGAUUGGUCGUUUUGUGAUUCAAACGUCCAUCGAAGAUUGGAAGAACUACUAUUCACUACUCAUGUUCAGAUUGGUCGUUAUGUUAUGCUUGGUUUAUGUGAAUUUUGGUAUUGGUCUUGAUUUACUCCAUGAUUUGCUGGGGAGGAACUAUGUCACUGAACAGCUGCCGUCGGAGUUCUAUGAUGCCCUCAAAAACAGGAGGAGCCACAAAUCUGUUAGGUUAGAUGUGAAUGUGCUCGCGGCAGCUCUUAAGAAGGUCGGUAAUCCUUUGGUAAUAGCAAGUUUUGGGACCAAUUGUUCGAGGUUGUUGUGUUCAGAUGCUGUCUUUGUUGACAUGAUGGCCAACCAGUCUAGGGAUGACAUAUUUAGAAAUUUGUUUCGUAAACCAUCUGUCCUAAAAGCUUCGCCAGCUGGAUCUUGCGCUACCAAUUCUGAGGAGGGGAAGACUGGUGCUGCAUUGGAUAAGCCAUGUGACGCCGGGGACAGACGCUAUAAGUGAGGAAAAUUGUGAAUCCAACGAGUCUCCAGAGUCUCCGCAAAUUGAUGUUGCUUCUGUACCGACCGCAAGUGCGCUUUAUGGCACAGCUAAAGAUCCAAAUCCCUCCCCUCCAACCCUCUGUUCUCUCCCCUUCCCAAUCACCCAAAUCGCCGACCCGAAUUCCGAGCUUCCGAAUCUCUCCAACUCCAUGAUCGGAUUCCAAUCAGCCAAUCCAUCCAAUCAAUUUUGAAAAAACCCAGAAAAA